GCAAAUACAAAAACCAAAAGAAAGAGACGGACAAGAUCUCAUUUACAUGAAUACUACUUCGUUCGUUCACGACUAGAAGAACCUCACAGAUAUUAACAGCCAUAGACAAGAAGACAACGACGAAUUGUGAUGACAUCCAAAGCCGGCAAGGCUGAUAUUAUAAAAUACACAAUAACAGCGCCACAAGGUGAAGAUUAGAAAAGAUUGUACCCGGAUAAUAAAGCAGCAACUAUAAACACCAGAAAUUUUCUUUCAUUCUCAUUGAUAAUAGGUGAAUUAGACUAUUAUUAUGCCCUAAAGAACCACAGUUUUGUAUAGCUUUAUGGCAAAAAAAGUGAUAAUCAAAUGCUCCGAUUAGUGCUUUUCAUGCUUUGCAGGUUAUAUCCAAUAAAAGAAAUCGGUGGAGCACUUUUGGGAUCAAUUAUGGAAAAAAGGAGGCCAAUCAAACAAUACCCACGAAGUGCACCAAGUGAAGGGACAAAACCAAACUGAACCUGGCCAGCCAAUGUUAGACCGUAACCGCGGUAGGACCAUUCUGGCCGCGGUCCUGGCAUACCCGCUGUGGGACCGCAGUAGAACGCGAAAAUUUCAGGGACCAAAGUGUCAAGUUGGGAAAAUUUGGUUUAAAAACCCUUAUAAGAUGAAGAAAUUCGGCCACAUUAGGGCAGACUUAUUUUGGAGAUUACUUUUGCAAGAUACACAAGUGUGAGAGAUCAACCAAAAAUAUCACAGUUCUUUAUCUUUUCUUUUUCUUGCAAUUUUCCAUGAUGAAUAUUUUCCUAGUUUAUCUUUACGUUGUUAUGAGUAGCUAAAUACUUUAGCCUAAGGUUUUGAUGGACCUAUUGAAGGAUGAACUUAUUGAUUAUGUUAAUAUAUUUUGCCAGUUAAUCUCUAUUUGUUCAACUACGUGUUUGUUGUAGUUAAUUGACAGGAUCCUCAAUUAGUUGUGCCUAUUUAGCUGUAAUUAACAAAGUUAGCUAGCGUAUCUCGAAAGAGUGCUUCUAGUAAAUUAUCGUGAUUACUCGGGAGAGAUUUACGGUAAAAAGAGUGUUCAUGAUUGAUAAAGAUGUUAAGCGUAACCGGAAGGGAUUCCAUCAAUAAGGGAAAUCACUACCUUAGAACCUUCUCAUUAUUGUUUACAACUCAAGCAUAUUUAGUUUACAACUGUUUAUUACUUUCAAUAUUAGUUAUUAGAAAUACCAUCAAUAUUGUUUUCAAUGUUUGGGGAAGUUGAUUCUAAAUAAUUUAGUACGUUCAACAAAAGUGAUUGAUAGGUUAAUUCUCUGUGGAUUUAACUCUGGCAAUAAAUACUCAGGUUAUAUUUGUAACGUCUCUGUGUCUUUUUAUAAGACAUAGUUGGGCGUCAUCAAAAUUUUGGCGCCGUUGCCAGGGAAUUAACGGUGUUAUCAAUUACAAUUGAAAGAAGUAUAAAAAUUCUUAGUGUAGUCAGUUUUCUCUAUGCCCAAUUUUUGCAUUGAAAUUUUAGCGGUAUUUAACUUGGUUGCAGAGGUGUAUGCCUAGAAACUCAUCGAGAUCUGGUGAAGUAAUUGAAGCAAUAUCAGACCGAGAAAGUUUUCAAGGCUUUGAAUCGGGCCAAACGAAAAAACAAAAAACAACCACCAAUUGCACAAUUCGAAACAAUCACGGGAGACAACGAGGAAAACCCAGAAGUACCAAUAGUGCCAGAGGCUUCCCUCUAUGAUUGGGCACAACCCGCAGCUAAAACAAGAGACUAUUUUUGGGGUCACAAAUUGAAGAUCCUCAGCAGCACUUGAAGAAUUUUUUAUUUAUCUGCUAAACCCAAAGGCAACCUAACUUAACUCAGGAAGCAAUCAAGCUGUUGUUGUUUCCAUUCUCAGUGACAUGAGCUGUCCAGACCUGGCUGAACUCACUCCCCAUCAAUUCCAUAACAACUUGGGAGGAUUUGGUCAGGCAAUUUCAUUAUAAGUUCAACCCACCCAACAAGACUGCUCAACAAAUUGAUGACAUUUUGAGCUUUAAACAUAAACCAAUAGAGACACUGCAUGAGACAUGGGAGUGUUUUAAAGGAAUCUUAGUUAUAUGUCCGCGCCAUGGUAUUCUAGAUUUAUUGUUGGGGCAGCGGUUUUACAUGGGGUUGUCAGAUAGUGUGAAGAAUAUUGUUGAUGCUUCAGCUGGUGGAGCUUUCUUGAGCAAAACAUGAAGAGAUGGCCAGAGUCUGCUUGACAAGAUGGCACAGAAUUCGGGAUGGACAACCAGGAAUGCACCUAUUACUCCAGUGGUGCACUCAGUGCCUCUUGAUCCAUCCAAUUCUAUGGCUGAAAACAUGGCUACCUUAUUGACACAGUUGAGCAUACUUACCAAAAAGGUGGAAGAGUCAGGGCAAAAACAACAGGUAAAUAUUGUUGAUACUACUAAUGGGGGCUUGUGCACAUCUUGCAUUAGUCAGCCAGCUGGUAACCAGUAGAAUGUAGAACACGAUCAUCAUCACUACCCUGAAGACAUAAACUAUGUGUCUAAUUAUGGAGGCCAAAGACAGGGUGGCCAGAAUUGGGGUCAACAGAAUCAGGAGUACAGGCCAUCACAGCCACAGUUCAACACUAGGAACAUGGGAGGUAUGAGACCCCCCACAAUAUGGCUUCUUACCAAGACCACGGAGAGACAAUAAUCAGAAUAUGCAGCAGGGGUAUCACCCAUCGCAGCAACAGCAUGGUGGAAUGCAGGAAGAUGGGUUUGCUAGACUUGAAGCAAUGAUGCAACAAAUUAUUGGGUCUAAUGCAAAAAUUAAUGAGAGACGGGAUGCACAUGAUGGAGCAAUCAAGAAUAUUGAGGUGCAGGUGGGCCAAGUUUUGAUGUCUCUGAAAAAUCGUCCUCGUGAGACACUACCUGCAGACACCUAGAUAAAUCCAAAAGAUCAGGGCCCGAAACAACUGAUGGCGGUGAGCCUAUGAAAUGGUAGAGAUUUGGAUGUAGAACAAGAAAGGGCUCGAGAAGCUAGACAGGCUGAGACACUCAUACAAGUGCCAUUCGAGCUGGAUGAAUCAACAAAACUGACAGAGGUGAUAGUCAAGCUUGCUCAAGAAGAAAAAAUAUUCAGAAUGAGACCGAGAAAGAAGCCGCAAUAGUCCAGGAGCCAGUAGUUGAUUUAGGAGCUGAUAAAGAUCAGUCCUAAUUGAUUGGAGAAAAGAGACCUCCUGCACUCUUCCCUCAGAGGCUAGCCAAGUACAAAACGGAGGAGCAAUACAAGAAGUUCUUUGACAUGUUAAACCAAAUCCAGGUAAAUAUACCAUUGAUUGAAGCUUUGAAGGAGAUGCCUGGGUAUGCAAAAAUGAUGUAAGACUUGAUGUCCCGAGAGUUGGAUUUCCAAGACUUGGCCACAGUUACGCUUACUCAGACAUGUAGUGCAGUGGUGACUAGACCAAUUGCGAAAAAGCUGUAUAACCCAGGGAGCUUUACAAAUCCAUGCACUAUUGAUAAUUUUGCUUUUUCUAAGGCACUGUGUGAUCUAGGGGCCAACAUAAAUCUUAUUCCCCUGGCAAUUUAUAAGAGGUUGGGCAUUGGAAGAGCUAUAACCACCUCUAUGUUGUUGCAGCUGGCUGACAUGACUGUGAAACGUCCCUCUGGAAUCCUGGACGAUGUGAUGAUUCAGGUAGGGAAGUUUGUGUUCCCUACAAAUUUUGUGAUCCUAGACUGCAAAGUGGAUGAAGGGAUUCAAAUAAUUUUAGAAAGACCAUUCCUAGCCACGAGGAGAGCUCUAAUUAAUUGUGAGACUGGGGAGCUCAAGAUGAGACUGAAUUAUGAAGAAAUAACAUUCAAUGUGUAGAAAUCUAUAAGGCAACCAAGUGAAUUCGCCAAUUGAUCUCUUAUUAAUGUCGUGGAUGUAAUUGUAGAGACUGACGAUGAAAGGCUAACCAUUGAGGACCCCCUUAAUGCAUGUCUAAUGAAUUUGGAUGAGGUAAAUAGAGAGGAUCUAGCAGAAUGGGUGUUGGCGCUAGAGGGUAGAGGGUUCUAGGAUAGAACUCUAGAAUUUGAGCCCUUGCACUUGGAAAAUUGAGAAACUCCUCCAGCCAAGCCAUCAAUCAAAGAACCACCAGAGCUAGAGUUAAAUCCAUUGCCCGCCCAUCUCAGGUAUGAAUUUCUUGGACCUAAAUCCACAUUUCCUGUUAUUAUCUCAUCUAGUUUGUUAGAUGCACAGGCUCAACAACUGCUGCUGGUACUAAAGGAGUGCAAGACUGCCAUUGGGUGGACCAUGGCAGACAUAAAGGGGAUCAGCCCCGCCUACUGUAUGCAUAAAAUUCUACUGGAAGAGGGACACAAACCUUCCAGGGAACACAAAAGAAGGAUGAACAUGAAGGAAGUGGUGAAGAAAGAAAUAAUCAAAUGGUUAGAUGUGGAAAUCCUUUUAUUUACCCUAACCUAAACCCAACCCCCCACAACCGCCCAAACCUCACUUUCUGUUCAACUUCUCUCAUCUGUCUUCAUUCUUCUUCUUCUGCAACUCUUGUUUCUUCUUUCUUCUUCUUCUUCUCCAACUUUUAUCUCUUCCUUCUUCUUCUUCUUCAUAUAACCCAAAACCCCCAUUUAUUUUUAUUCCUUCUUCUUAUUCCCUUCCUCCAUCCAAACCCUACCUCUCCACAACCCCCCACCCCCCCCAAAAAANNNNNNNNNNNNNNNNNNNNNNNNNNNNNNNNNNNNNNNNCCUAUCCCCCUGACCCCUCCACAACCCCAACUUGUCCCCAAGACUCCACGGUAAUCUUCAAGUAAGUUGUCUAAUUUUUCUUGUGUUUUGUGUACUUUGCCUUAUGUAGUGAUUACUGUGUAGAAUUCUUGAUCUUGGGUGCAUGGGGUUUUAAACUCCAAGGUGGGUCUUGUAGAUUGUGUUUGGGGUUAAUUUGUGUAGAUGUGAGGGUGUGUGCCUAGUUGACAAUUUUUGUAUGGGGUGGGUGGUGGUAGCACUUAACUGUUAUUAAUUGGUGGGAGCUUGCAGGGGGUCUUAUAGGGCGGAAUUGUAUCAUUGAUAAGUGGUGUGGGGUUAAUAGCGGAUGUUGUCCACUCUGGCACCUUACUAGAUGGUUAUACUGGCCAUGCUUGACAAAAAGGAAACUGUUUGGUGCCAGCGGGUGGCGAAGUCUGAGUACCCAUCCGACUGGCCCAUGUUUGGCUGCCCCUGAUCAUCAUGAUGAAAUGAUUGUAGGUAGUAUGGCCUGAAAGAGGCGAGAGAACUCGGGAAGCACUUCUGAAGUGCCGACUUAUGAUAUCACCCGGUUCACGUCCGAGGAUGCACAUGAAAGGUUUCAUGCUAAAGCUACCAAAAGCUUUGUCCCUAAAAUUGCUAUUGACAGGGCUGCCCUCCGUGUAAAAAACUAGACAUGUACAAGGAAAUUCGCCAGAGGGGGGGAGUUUUUGUUCGAGGAACCUGAAAUAGCCAAUCCUAUGAUAGUCCAAGAGUUCUACGCAAACUGACCAGAAUUUUUGUCCCGUUCUGUGAUUGUGCAGGGCAAAGUGGUAGAUGCCUCAGUAUUGAAGAUUCGCGAGGUCUUGCAACUGCCUCCGUUCACUAGUGAAGCUGAUUAUUACCAUAAUUCUCCAGGGAUAUUAGGACCCUUAGGACUCUUUUGGACUAAGGUGGGUGAGGGCAAGAAUGCAUCCCGUGGUGUGCAUACCUGCAAAUACUUAAAACGAACUUGAGGGUGCGACGUCUAGGCCCACGUGUAGACUCUUAAUCUUAUGCCUUAAUUUUGCACACCUUGUCUUACUUGAACUCUCACGUGAAUGUGUUAACAAACUAAUUCGGAAUGAGUUUCAUGCCAAGUGUGUGUAAGGUAAUACACGCAUUCUAUGCUUGCAUGCAGUACCUAGAACAUGCCCCAUGUAUGUGCAAAGAGAAAUGGAAAUUGUUUGGUCUUAGAGAUGAUUUAGGCAUUUCUUUGUGUCGUCCAUAUAAUCAUGAAUCCACAUGUACAUAUUACCAUAGUUAACCUCUUUAAACCUAUAAUCCUUUUUCUUUGGCAACCACAUUACAAGCCUUACCCAUUUAUUGAAUUAACCAUGUAUUUAAACCUUUUUCACCUCUCAUGAGCACUUGAAUUGUUAUGAACCUUGUAAAAGUUAAAGUGUGGGGUGGUCGGUUUGGUUUUUGAGUGGAACUAGUUGAAUAAGGAGAGAGGUGCACUAUUUUGAAAAAGGAAUAGCCACUUGAAAAAAAAAUAGAAACUCCUCGAUAAGUGGUGGCUCUUGAUGCAAGUGUGCUUAAAGAAGAAUGGGGUAGUUACAUUGAUGUGAAGAUGGAAUUUUGGGGUGACAUAAGGAUGAGGUUUAACUGAGAAAAUGUAUAUAUUAAAAAUCUUAGGAGGUGUAGUCACUCUUAUAUUUAAAUGCAUCCUACUAGCCAUGCAGCCUACAUUACAACCAAAUGAAGCCCUAUUGAUCUUAGACUGAACAAUUCGAUUAGUAUAAUAUUACACUAAGGGCAAGCUUAUGGUGUAUCUGUGUGGCAUAUGAAUGUUCUUUGCUGCGUGUGAGUGAAUUCGUUAUAUCUAUAGUUCCUUGUUGUUUGAUUUCAUGUGUGUGGAACUUCAAACUCUAAAACAAAUUGUGAUGUGAGGGUAUUUAACUCAAGAAGAAAAAAGCAAGUCUUCACUUCUGUUUAGAGUACAUAGAGUAAACAUGAGUGUAGCAUGGCAUUAGAGUAUUAAUCUGAGGUGUUGUAGUUGCAUUGCUUAGGUUGUUCUUUCAUAAUAGCAGGUGUGACAUAAAAAGGGUAAUGCAUCAAAUGAAAAGGCCUAGAAGUGUGGUUCAACUUGCUCGAGGACAAGCAAAGAUUUAAGUGUGGGGUCUUGAUAAAAGGUGAAUUAGACUAUAAUUAUGCCCUAAAGAACCAUAGUUUUGUAUAGCUUUAUGGCAAAAAAAGUGAUAACCAAAUGUUUUGAUUAGUGCUUUUCAUGCUUUGUAGGCUAUAUCCAAUAAAAGAAGUUGGUGGAGCACUUUUGGGAUCAAUUACGGAGAAAAGGAGGCCAAUCAAACAAUACCCACGAAGUGCACCAAGUUAAUGGACAAAAACAAACUGAAUCUGGCCUGACCGUUGUCAGACCGUAACCGUGGUAGGACAGCGGUAGAACAUUACCAAUGACUCAGAGGACCAUUGUGGCCGCGGUCCUGGCAUAACUAUGGUGGGACCGCGACAGAACGCGAAAACUUCAAGGACCAAAGUGUCAAGUCGAAAAAAUUUGGUGAAAACCCUUAUAAGAUGUAGAAAUUUUGCCACAUUAGGGCACACUUGUUUUGGAGAUUACUUUUGCAAGAUACACAAGUGUCAGAGAUCACCCAAAAAUAUCAUAGUUCUAUAUUUCUUCUUUUUCUUGCAAUUUUCCAUGAUGAAUAUUUUCAUAGAUUAUCUUUACGUUGUUAUGAGUAGCUAAAUACUUUAGUCUUAGGUUUUGAAGGAUGAACUUCUUGAUUAUGUUAAUAUUAUUUUCCAGUUAAUCUCUAUUUGUUCAACUACGUGUUUGGUGUAGUUAAUUGACAAGAUCCUCAAUUAGCUGUGCCUAUUUAGUGUGCAUAACUCGGAAGAGAGUGCAUAUUUAGGUAAUUGUUUAACAACACCACUCCCAAAGUAUAAGAGGGAUCUAUAACUGCGGGUUGAAAGGCGGCAUUAGGGAUGACGAAGCCUUGGGUAAAAUCUAAAGUGAGCUGUAAUAAACAAAGUUAGGUAGCACAUCUCGGGAGAGUGUGCCUAGUAAAUUAUCGUGAUUACUCGGGAGAGAUUUACGGUAUGAUUGAUAGAAAUGUUUUGGUGAAUCUAUGUGAGGCGUGACCGGAAGAGAUUCUAUCAAUAGGGAAAAUCACUACCUUAGAACCUUCUCAUUAUUCUUACAACUCAAGCAUAUUUAGUUUAUAGAUGUUUAUUUACUUUCAAUAUUAGUUAUCAGAAAUACCAUCACUAUUGUUUUCAACAUUUGGGGAAGUUGAUUCUAAAGAAUUUAGUACGUCCAAUAAAAAUUAUUGAUAGGUUAGUUCUCUAUGGAUCGACUCUGGCAAUAAAUACUGAGGUUAUAUUUGCAACGUUCACGUGUCCUUUUACAAGGCAUAGUUGGGCGUGAUCGUUCCUAUAAGGGCUUGAGACAUCAAGAUUACAUUGGUCAAGAACAAGUUAGGAAGAACAGACCUGAGACAAUUUUUUCCAAAUGCAAUCCGAAAAUGCUUAACUACGGAAAACUCAUACAGCAACGACAACCUUGACGAAACUCCAACCGUGCUACUGACGACACCUCGGAUUCGAUCGAACUCCAACCACCCUCAAAUUUGAUCGAAUUCCAAAAUUUGAAAAAUCGGAAAUCGGAAGAAUGAGCUAAACCAUUAUUGCUAUCAUGACCGGCGACUAUGCACACACUGAAACGCUUUUGAUUUCUAUAGAGAGGAGCUUCAUUUUGGUGGUGGACGGCUCAGCUAGCUCUUUUUUUACAGGGGUCUGUAUGAUCUCUUGGUGAUUGAGAGGGAAAAGUCUUAGGAUUUUUAGGUUGUGAAUGAGAAGAUGAAAAUUGUCGUUGGUGGAUGUGUUUCCGGCGAUGGAGAGGGGUUAGCAGGUUUUGGUGUUGCCUUUGAAGGAGAGGAUCAAAGGUUUUGGGUGUUUCCUCGAUUUUUCGUUCAAUGGUGAAAGGGGUCGGUAUUGAAGAAGAAAGCUGGAUGGACGGGGUCUGAUUUUUGUAUCCUUUACCCAGCCCUCUCCGACGUCUCACUUAGUGUGUACCUCCUUACGCGAUAUAUUUCUGUGUCUAGCUCUUAAGAUUGGG
rnacentral:lncRNA from 1 species